AGAGAUACUGUGUACUAUACUGUCCCACCACCAGAGAGAAACUUUCCACCACGAUGUUUCCCCAGCCAUCACACUGACACCGUACUGGUAAGUUGGCGGAAGUAGUUUGGACUCACCUGAUCAAAUCCAAGAAGGAGUCCGUCACCUCUUUAGCCUGCGGCACGUCUUCCUCCAAACCCUCGACAUUAGGUUUCCCCAGUGGCACAGAGCCAGGGGACACGAUGAAAGCCAUGACCACCCCAAUGGAGGAAGCGAUCAAGGU